AUUGAACGCUGGCGGCAGGCCUAACACAUGCAAGUCGAACGAGUGGCGGACGGGUGAGUAAUGUCUGGGAAUCUUCCCGUUGGAGGGGGAUAACUACUGGAAACGGUAGCUAAUACCGCAUACCAUCGGAUGUGCCCAGAUGGGAUGAGCUAGUAGGUGGGGUAACGGCUAACCUAGGCGACGAUCCCUAGCUGGUCUGAGAGGAUGAACAGUCACACUGGAACUGAGACACGGUCCAGACUCCUACGGGAGGCAGCAGUGGGGAAUAUUGGACAAUGGGCGCAAGCCUGAUGCAGCCAUGCCGCGUGUAUGAAGAAGGUCUUCGGGUUGUAAAGUACUUUCAGCGAGGAGGCGUUACUCGCAGAAGAAGCACCGGCUAACUCCGUGCCAGCAGCCGCGGUAAUAC
rnacentral:rRNA from 1 species